UUUCCGUAGGUGAACCUGCGGAAGGAUCAUUCAUAAUAAGUGUUUUAUGGCACUUUUUUAAAUCCAUAACCACCUUGUGUGCAAUGUCAGGGUUGAUUUUUCUCUCGAGAGGAUCGACCCCAAACAUCAACUAUAUCUCAACUCUUUGUCUGAAAAAUAUUAUGAAUAAAACAAUUCAAAAUACAACUUUCAACAACGGAUCUCUUGGCUCUC
rnacentral:misc_RNA from 1 species